GCAUCAUUUUAUUCGAUGUAUUAGCAUUUGUAUGGGAUGUCUUUUUAAGAUAUCGUAUAAUUUUUUUUUAAAAUAUUGCAUGAGAAUUUUAAGAGUGGAGAGAGAUAAAGAUGAUAUCAAACUUUUCGAUAGCUGAUGGAUAUAUUGUGCAUUCUUUCUCAAUCACUAAGAUGUCACGAUGGAUGAAUUUUAUGUUUUGCAUGCAAUCACGU
rnacentral:lncRNA from 1 species